rnacentral:rRNA from 1 species
AUUGACCUCUGGCGGCAGUCCUAACCCCUGCCAGUCGAGCGAGCGGCGGACGGGUGAGUAAUGUAUGGGGACUGCCCGAUAGAGGGGGAUAACUACUGGAAACGGUGGCUAAUACCGCAUCCUAUCGGAUAACCCAUAUUGGAUUAGCUAGUAGGUGGGUUAAAGGCUCCCCUAGGCGACGAUCUCUAGCUGGUCUGAGAGGAUGUUCAGCCACCCUGGGACUGAGACACGGCCCAGACUCCUCCGGAGGCAGCAGUGGGGAAUAUUGCACAAUGGGAGCAAGCCUGAGGCAGCCAUGCCGCGUGUAUGAAGAAGGCCUUAGGGUUGUAAAGUACUUUCAGCGGGGAGGCGUUACCCGCAGAAGAAGCACCGGCUAACUCCGGGCCAGCAGCCGCGGUAAUAC